rnacentral:lncRNA from 1 species
UAUCGCUAUAAUUCGUCACCAGAGGGAUAUCGGCCUAAUCUACAUUUGUCAGCGCUAAUCCUCAGUAGAUAAAGAGCCAAAGAGCCAGAAACCCAAUGGACAAAGAUGAAGUAACAAGACGUCGUAAGAUUUACCAUUCCAAUUUUAAAGAAGAUUUUUUCUUAAUAUUUAUUGGUUUUUUUGUGUUUUUAAGGAACUUUUUAAAUAUAGGCAGUUGUGUAGCCUAAAAAGGAAGGUCCAGCUGUCUGUACUUUGUUCUAGAACACUUUGUAAAAAUGAGGGAUAUCGGCCUAAUCUACAUUUGUCAGCGCUAAUCCUCAGUAGAUAAAGAGCCAAAGAGCCAGAAACCCAAUGGACAAAGAUGAAGUAACAAGACGUCGAACUUUUUAAAUAUAGGCAGUUGUGUAGCCUAAAAAGGAAGGUCCAGCUGUCUGUACUUUGUUCUAUAACACUUUGUAAAAAUGGUAAUCGUCUGAAAUAUAUAUUUUUAGAACGACUUUGUCUUUUAAUUUUGUAA